rnacentral:rRNA from 1 species
CUACGGGCCGCAGCAGUGAGGAAUAUUGCACAAUGGGGGGAACCCUGAUGCAGCAACGCCGCGUGGAGGAUUACGCAUUUCGGUGUGUAAACUCCUUUUAUAUGUCAAGAAAAUGACGGUAGCAUAUGAAUAAGCACCGGCUAACUCCGUGCCAGCAGCCGCGGUAAUACGGAGGGUGCAAGCGUUACUCGGAAUCACUGGGCGUAAAGGACGCGUAGGCGGGUUGGAAAGUCAGGUGUGAAAUCCUACAGCUUAACUGUAGAACUGCACUUGAAACUUCUAAUCUAGAGUAUGGGAGGGGGAGAUGGAAUUAGUGGUGUAGGGGUAAUAUCCGUAGAUAUCACUAGGAAUACCUAAAGCGAAGGCGAUCUCCUGGAACAUUACUGACGCUAAGGCGUGAAAGCGUGGGGAGCAAACAGGAUUAGAUACCCUCGUAGUC